AUUGAACGCUGGCGGCAGGCCUAACACAUGCAAGUCGAACGAGUGGCGGACGGGUGAGCAAUGUCUGGGCAACUUCCUGAUGGAGGGGGAUAACUACUGGAAACGGUAGCUACUACCGCAUAACUGCAGAUGUGCCCAGAUGGGAUUAGCUUGUUGGUGGGGUAACGGCGCACGAAGGCGACGAUCCCUAGCUGGGCUGAGAGGAUGACCAGCCACACUGGAACUGAGACACGGUCCAGACUCCUACGGGAGGCAGCAGUGGGGAAUAUUGCACAAUGGGCGAAAGCCUGAUGCAGCCAUGCCGCGUGUAUGAAGAAGGCCUUCGGUUUGUAAAGUACUUUCAGCUGGGAGGCGUUACCAGCAGAAGAAGCACCGGCUAACUCCGUGCCAGCAGCCGCGGUAAUAC
rnacentral:rRNA from 1 species